ensembl:piRNA 21ur-219 ncRNA
UUCGGGAGUAAAAUGUUGUAU